CGCCUGUUUAACAAAAACAUCGCCUCUUGCCCCACUUGUAUAAGAGGUCCAGCCUGCCCUGUGAUUUUUUUAACGGCCGCGGUAUCUUGACCGUGCGAAGGUAGCGUAAUCAACUGUUUUUUAAUUAAAGGCCCGUAUGAAUGGCAUCACGAGAGUUUAUCUGUCUCUAUUUUCCAAUCAAUGAAAUUGAUCUGCUCGUGCAGAAGCGAGCAUUACAACAUAAGACGAGAAGACCCUAUGGAGCUUUAAACACUUAAGUUAAUCUCAAACUUAACCCACCCCUCCGGGCAUAAACACGAAAUUGACCCUCCUAACUUAACUUGUUUUUGGUUGGGGCGACCAAGGGGAAAAACAGAACCCCCUUAUCGAACAUGUAUUAUCUUACUUAAUAUUAGAAUGACAUUUCUAAUUAAUAGAAAAUCUAACGAAUAAUGACCCAGAAAAGAUUUUUUUCUGAACAAUGAACCAAGUUACCCUAGGGAUAACAGCGCAAUCCUUUCUUAGAGCCCACAUCACCGAAAGGGUUUACGACCUCGAUGUUGGAUCAGGACAUCCUAAUGGUGCAGCCGCUAUUAAGGGUUCGUUUGUUCAACGAUUAACAGUCCUACAUGAUCUGAGUUCAGACCGG
rnacentral:rRNA from 1 species